GACGAACGUUGGCGGCGUGCUUAAUACAUGCAAGUCAACUGAAGCACCGGUAGUAAUACUGGUGUGGAGGUGGCGCACGGGUGAGUAACACGUAGGUAAUCUGCCUUCAGGUCUGACAUAACUCCGAGAAAUCGAAGCUAAUAUCAGAUGAUGCAGCGGCUUGACAUCAAGACAGUUGUUAAAGCUUCGGCGCCUGGAGAUGAGCCUGCGUCUGAUUAGCUAGUUGGCGGGGUAACGGCCACCAAGGCUUCGAUCAGUAGCUGGUCUGAGAGGAUGAUCAGCCACACUGGAACUGAGACACGGUCCAGACUCCUACGGGAGGCAGCAGUAAGGAAUAUU
rnacentral:rRNA from 1 species